rnacentral:rRNA from 1 species
AAUCAACGCUGGCGGCGUGCCUAACACAUGCAAGUCGAACGCGAAAGCCCUUUCGGGGGUAAGUAGAGUGGCGUCCGGGUGAGUAACACGUAGGUAAUCUACCUUCGGGUGGGGAAUAACUCGCCGAAAGGCGAGCUAAUACCGCAUAAUGCAGCGGCACCUAAUGGUGAUUAGUUGUUAAAGCGGGGGAUCGUAAGACCUCGCGCCUGAAGAGGAGCCUGCGGCAGAUUAGCUAGNGGUGAGGUAAUGGCUCACCAAGGCUUCGAUCUGUAGCUGGUCUGAGAGGACGGCCAGCCACACUGGCACUGACACACGGGCCAGACUCCUACGGGAGGCAGCAGUGGGGAAUUUUGGGCAAUGGGCGCAAGCCUGACCCAGCAACGCCGCGUGAGGGAGGAAAUCCUU